AGAGUUUGAUCCUGGCUCAGGAUGAACGCUGGCGGCGUGCCUAACACAUGCAAGUCGAGCGAGAAGUAAAGAAAUGAAGCUUCGGUAGAUUUUCAUUAUGGAAAGCGGCGGACGGGUGAGUAACGCGUAGGCAACCUGCCCUGUACAGGGGGAUAGCCACCCGAAAAGGUGAUUAAUACCCCAUGAAGCAAGAGAUACACAUGUAUCACUUGUCAAAGAUUUAUCGGUAUGGGAUGGGCCUGCGUCUGAUUAGCUAGUUGGUAGGGUAACGGCUUACCAAGGCAACGAUCAGUAGCCGACCUGAGAGGGUGAUCGGCCACAUUGGAACUGAGACACGGUCCAAACUCCUACGGGAGGCAGCAGUGGGGAAUAUUGCACAAUGGGGGAAACCCUGAUGCAGCAACGCCGCGUGAAGGAAGAAGGCCUUCGGGUUGUAAACUUCUGUCCUAGGGGAAGAAACAAAUGACAUUACCCUUGGAGGAAGCCCCGGCUAACUACGUGCCAGCAGCCGCGGUAAUACGUAGGGGGCGAGCGUUAUCCGGAAUUAUUGGGCGUAAAGAGUGCGUAGGUGGCAUCUUAAGCGCAGGGUUUAAGGCAAUGGCUCAACCAUUGUUCGCCUUGCGAACUGGGGUGCUUGAGUGCAGGAGGGGAAAGUGGAAUUCCUAGUGUAGCGGUGAAAUGCGUAGAUAUUAGGAGGAACACCAGUGGCGAAGGCGACUUUCUGGACUGUUACUGACACUGAGGCACGAAAGCGUGGGGAGCAAACAGGAUUAGAUACCCUGGUAGUCCACGCCGUAAACG
rnacentral:rRNA from 1 species